AGCGAAUAGAUACCCUGGUAGUCCACGCCGUAAACUAUGGACGCUAGCUGUUAGAAGUAUCGACCCUUCUAGUAGCGAAAGCUAACGCGUUAAGCGUCCCGCCUGUGGAGUACGAGCGCAAGCUUAAAACAUAAAGGAAUUGACGGGGACCCGCACAAGCGGUGGAGCGUGUUGUUUAAUUCGAUGCUAAGCGAAGAACCUUACCCAGGUUUGACAUCCUGCUAAUUUCUCCGAAAGGAGAGAGUGCCUUCGGGCCGCAGUGACAGGUGUUGCAUGGCCGUCGUCAGCUCGUGUCGUGAGAUGUUUGGUUAAGUCCAUCAACGAGCGCAACCCUUUUG
rnacentral:rRNA from 1 species